UACCUACAUCACAUUUGUAAG
rnacentral:piRNA from 1 species